CAGGUAAUCUAUAAUAAUAUAUAUAAACGCGAAAGGUCAUUCAUCACGAAAUCUCCGAAACUAUAACACCUACAAACUUGAAAUUUGGCAGGUAGGCUCCUUAUAGGAAGUAGACAUCCGCUAAGAACGGAUUUUACGAAACUCAACCCCUAAGGGGGUAAAAUGGGGGUUAGAAGUUUGUAUGAGAGUCCCAUGUUUUUGACGUAAGAGACUUGAAAUUUAAAAUGUAUGCUCUAUAGAUGGUAACAAGGUGUUCAAAUAAUGUAUCUUUAGAAAUCAACUCCCUUUUGGGAUUAAAACGGGGGAUGUUACGUUGACUCACUCAUCACGAAAUCUCCGAAACUAUAAUGCUUACAAACUUGAAAUUUAGCAGGUAGGCUCCUUAUAGGGCGUAAUCUAUUGCUAAGAAUGGAUUUGACGAAACUCGACCCCUAAGGGGGUAAAACGGGGGUUGGAAGUUUGUAUGAAAGUCCCAUGUUUUUGAAGUAAGAUGCUAGGGUAUCUAAAAUGUAUGCUCUAUAAACGAUGAGAAGAUGUUCAAAUAAUGUAUAUUUAGAAAUCAACUCCUUUUUUGGGUUAAAGCGGGGGAUGGUAUGUUGACUCACUCAUCACGAAAUCUCCGAAACUAUAACACCUAGAAACUUGAAAUUUGGCAGGUAAGUUUCUUAUAGAGCGUAGACAUUUGCUAGGAACGGAUUUUACGAAACUCGGUCCUUAAGGGGGUAAAAAGGGGGUUAGAAGUUUGUAUGAAAGUCCUAUGUUUUUGAAGUAAGAGACUUGAAAUAUAAAAUGUAUGUUCUAUAGAUGGUGAGGAGGUGUCCAAAUAUUGUAUUUUUAGAAAUCAAUUCCCUUUUGGGGUUUAAAGGGGGGUGGUAGGUUAACUCACUCAUCACGAAAUCUCCGAAACUAUAACAGCUACAAACUUGAAAUUUGGCAGGUAGGUUCCUUAUAAGGCGUAUUUUACGAAACUUGACCCCUAAGGGGUAAAAUGGGGGUUGAAAGUUUGUAUGAAAGUCCUAUGUUUUUGAAGUAAGAGACUUGAAAUUUAAAAUGUAUGCUCUAUAGAUAGUGGAGGAGGUGUCCAAAUAAUGCAUCGUAAUCUAUAUACAUAUAUAUAUAUAUAUAUAUAUAAGAGGAAGGUCACUGACUCACUCAUCACGAGAACUCAAAAACAGCUGGGUGGUUUCUAUCCAGCAUGGACAAAGAUAAAAUUUGGCAGGGAGGUAGAUUACCUAUAGUUAGUAGACGUCCGCUAAGAACGAAUUUUGCGAUAUUCCACCGCUAAGGGCGUUUGAUUGAGGUUGAUAGUUUGUAUGAAAUAUAUGCAGCAGCUAUAACUUCGCCUGAUAGGUUGUUAUUUAUACUGCAGCUUGAAAAUAAAACUAAAAAUGUGAUGUAUAGAGAGGUUUUAUAAAAAUAACUAUUAAAUUAUACUAAAUUGUGCCUUUGAAAAAGUUACUCAGAGUGAUAACCAUUUCAAGUGAAUGAAAUAAUAAAAAUAAUUUGCGUUAAGCAUCUUAAUAGUAAUGCAUAUCUUCAUAAUCACGCGGACGUAGUCGCGGGCAACAGUUAGUGUAGUAUUAUAAAACAAAGUUCCCAAAAGCGUAUGUGAUCAAUUCCCUCAAAAUCUACUGAACGGAUUUUCAUGCGGUUUCACCAAUGAAGGGCUUCAAGAGGAAGGUUUACGGAACGGCUAAGCCGAUUUUGAUGAGCGUUUCACUGGAAGUUUGCCGGGAAAACUUUGUGACAAACUGAUUUCAACGCGGGCGAAGCCGCGGGCACAGCUAGU
rnacentral:misc_RNA from 1 species